CGGCGGUGAAAGCGACGGUCGAACUAUCUCCGGCCAGCGCGGAUGCAUCUCCGCCACUGAUCAUACGAUGCAGCAUUUUGCUGUCUGUAUUCUCAAUGUGGAUAUUUUGGGCCACCGUGUAUAUCGCACAGAUGAAUCCCGUAGUCGGACCGCGCCACCUCAACUCCACACUCAUUUGGAAGAAGCAUUUGG